CCUACGGGAGGCAGCAGUGAGGAAUAUUGGUCAAUGGGCGAGAGCCUGAACCAGCCAAAUCGCGUGAAGGAUGAAGGUAUUAUGUAUUGUAAACUUCUUUUACAGGGGAAUAAAGUGCGGGACGUGUCCCGUUUUGUAUGUACCCUGAGAAUAAGGAUCGGCUAACUCCGUGCCAGCAGCCGCGGUAAU
rnacentral:rRNA from 1 species